CAGCCGCCACGGUAAUACGUAGGUGGCGAGCGUUGUCCGGAAUUAUUGGGCGUAAAGGGAGCGCAGGCGGGCGAGUAAGUCUUUCUUAAAAGUGCGGGGCUCAACCCCGUGAGGGGAGAGAAACUACUCAUCUUGAGUGCAGGAGAGGAAAGCGGAGUUCCUAGUGUAGCGGUGAAAUGCGUAGAUAUUAGGAAGAACACCAGUGGCGAAGGCGACUUUCUGGACGAAAACUGACGCUGAGGCGCGAAAGCCAGGGGAGCGAACGGGAUUAGAUACCCCUGUAGUCCCUGUCUCUUAUACA
rnacentral:rRNA from 1 species